rnacentral:rRNA from 1 species
UAAGGAAUAUUGGACAAUGGACGCAAGUCUGAUCCAGUCAUGCCGCGUGAAGGAUGAAUGCCCUCUGGGUUGUAAACUUCUUUUAUAGGGGAAGAAAGAUACUUUUUUUAAGGUAGUUGACGGUACCCUAUGAAUAAGCACCGGCUAACUCCGUGCCAGCAGCCGCGGUAAUACGGAGGGUGCAAGCGUUAUCCGGAUUUACUGGGUUUAAAGGGUGCGUAGGCGGGCAUGUAAGUCAGUGGUGAAAUACCGGAGCUUAACUUCGGAACUGCCAUUGAUACUAUAUGUCUUGAAUAUUGUGGAGGUAAGCGGAAUAUGUCAUGUAGCGGUGAAAUGCAUAGAUAUGACAUAGAACACCGAUUGCGGAGGCAGCUUGCUACGCAAAUAUUGACGCUGAGGCACGAAAGCGUGGGGAUCAAACA